rnacentral:rRNA from 1 species
GACGAACGCUGGCGGCGUGCUUAACACAUGCAAGUCGAACGGAAAGGCCCUGCUUUUGUGGGGUGCUCGAGUGGCGAACGGGUGAGUAACACGUGAGUAACCUGCCCUUGACUUUGGGAUAACUUCAGGAAACUGGGGCUAAUACCGGAUAGGAGCUCUUGCUGCAUGGUGGGGGUUGGAAAGUUUCGGCGGUUGGGGAUGGACUCGCGGCUUAUCAGCUUGUUGGUGGGGUAGUGGCUUACCAAGGCUUUGACGGGUAGCCGGCCUGAGAGGGUGACCGGCCACAUUGGGACUGAGAUACGGCCCAGACUCCUACGGGAGGCAGCAGUGGGGAAUAUUGCACAAUGGGCGGAAGCCUGAUGCAGCAACGCCGCGUGCGGGACGACGGCCUUCGGGUUGUAAACCGCUUUCGCCUGUGACGAAGCGUGAGUGACGGUAAUGGGUAAAGAAGCACCGGCUAACUACGUG